CGGCCACAGGUGUUCCUUCUUCUUGCAGUUGGGAAUGGUGUACGCGAGCCCGAACAUGAUCGGGCACAACAGAACGUAGUAUACCUGGUUCCCGAGUCCCUCCGGCCAGUCCAGAUCGAUGCCUCCGUCGUCGUCGUCGUCGUCGUCGGGACCCGGGUCCUUCGACGAGUCGGACUUGAUGAGGCGCUUGGACUCUUUCCGAACCAGCGCCCUCGGCGUCGAGGUGCGCUCCAGCCCUUUCGGGGUCAGAGUUCUCGCGAGCUCUGAUUCUGUCACGGCUCCGGGUCCGGGUGAAACCUGCGAGAGCU
rnacentral:lncRNA from 1 species